AUUGAACGCUGGCGGCAGGCCUAACACAUGCAAGUCGAGCGGGGAAAGGUAGCUUGCUACUGGACCUAGCGGCGGACGGGUGAGUAAUGCUUAGGAAUCUGCCUAUUAGUGGGGGACAACAUCUCGAAAGGGAUGCUAAUACCGCAUACGUCCUACGGGAGAAAGCAGGGGACCUUCGGGCCUUGCGCUAAUAGAUGAGCCUAAGUCGGAUUAGCUAGUUGGUGGGGGAAAGGCCUACCAAGGCGACGAUCGGUAGCGGGUCUGAGAGGAUGAUCCGCCACACUGGGACUGAGACACGGCCACGACUCCUACGGGAGGCAGCAGUGGGGAAUAUUGGACAAUGGGGGGGACCCUGAUCCAGCCAUGCCGCGUGUGUGAAGAAGGCCUUUUGGUUGUAAAGCACUUUAAGCGAGGAGGAGGCUACCGAGAUUAAUACUCUUGGAUAGUGGACGUUACUCGCAGAAUAAGCACCGGCUAACUCUGUGCCAGCCGCCGCGGUAACAC
rnacentral:rRNA from 1 species